UGGGGAAUUUUGCACAAUGGGGGAAACCCUGAUGCAGCGACGCCGCGUGAUUUAGAAGGCCUUCGGGUUGUAAAAAUCUUUUCUAUGGGAAGAAAAUGACAGUACCAUAGGAAUAAGGACCGGCUAAUUACGUGCCAGCAGCCGCGGUAAUACGUAAGGUCCGAGCGUUGUCCGGAAUCAUUGGGCGUAAAGGGUACGUAGGCGGGUAAGCAAGUUAGAAGUGAAAUCCUAUAGCUCAACUAUAGUAAGCUUUUAAAACUGCUCAUCUUGAGGUAUGGAAGGGAAAGUGGAAUUCCUAGUGUAGCGGUGAAAUGCGCAGAUAUUAGGAGGAAUACCGGUGGCGAAGGCGACUUUCUGGCCAAAACCUGACGCUGAGGUACGAAAGCGUGGGUAGCAAACAGG
rnacentral:rRNA from 1 species